GGAGGCAGCACUGUGGAUCAUGUGUUAGACCCGGAAACAUGAGGCCCCGAGUUCAAUCCCAGGCAGCACAAAUGUGGAGUGAAGCUCUGGUUCUCUCUCUCUUGUUGUUAAAUAAACCCUUUGGGGGUCGGGCUGUAGCGCAGCGGGUUAAGCGCAGGUGGCGCAAAGCACAAGGACCGGCAUAAGGAUCCCGGUUCGAACCCCGGCUCCCCACCUGCAGGGGAGUCGCUUCACAGGCGGUGAAGCAGGUCUGCAGGUGUCUUUCUCUCCUCCUCUCUGUCUUCCCCUCCUCUCUCCAUUUCUCUCUGUCCUAUCCAACAAUGACAACAACAAUAAUAACUACAACAAUAAAACAACAAGGGCAACAAAAGGGAAUAAAUAAAUAAAAUAAAUAUUUUUU